rnacentral:rRNA from 1 species
UACGUAGGGGGCAAGCGUUGUCCGGAUUUACUGGGCGUAAAGAGCGCGCAGGCGGUCGUUCAAGUCGAGUGUGAAAGCCCCCGGCUCAACUGGGGAGGGUCACUCGAUACUGAUCGACUUGAAGGCAGGAGAGGGAAGCGGAAUUCCCGGUGUAGUGGUGAAAUGCGUAGAUAUCGGGAGGAACACCAGGUGGCGAAGGCGGCUUCCUGGCCUGUUCUUGACGCUGAGGCGCGAAAGCUAGGGGAGCAAACGGG